rnacentral:rRNA from 1 species
GGUCAAGUGAAGAAGCGCAUACGGUGGAUGCCUUGGCAGUCAGAGGCGAUGAAAGACGUGGUAGCCUGCGAAAAGCUUCGGGGAGUCGGCAAACAGACUUUGAUCCGGAGAUGUCUGAAUGGGGGAACCCAGCCAUCAUAAGAUGGUUAUCUUGUACUGAAUACAUAGGUGCAAGAGGCGAACCAGGGGAACUGAAACAUCUAAGUACCCUGAGGAAAAGAAAUCAACCGAGAUUCCCUUAGUAGUGGCGAGCGAACGGGGACUAGCCCUUAAGUGGCUUUGAGAUUAGCGGAACGCUCUGGAAAGUGCGGCCAUAGUGGGUGAUAGCCCUGUACGCGAAAAUCUCUUAGUCAUGAAAUCGAGUAGGACGGAGCACGAGAAACUUUGUCUGAAUAUGGGGGGACCAUCCUCCAAGGCUAAAUACUACUGACUGACCGAUAGUGAACUAGUACCGUGAGGGAAAGGCGAAAAGAACCCCGGAGAGGGGAGUGAAAUAGAUCCUGAAACCGUAUGCGUACAAGCAGUGGGAGCCUACUUUGUUAGGUGACUGCGUACCUUUUGUAUAAUGGGUCAGCGACUUAUUUUCAGUGGCGAGCUUAACCGAAUAGGGGAGGCGUAGCGAAAGCGAGUCUUAAUAGGGCGUCUAGUCGCUGGGAAUAGACCCGAAACCGGGCGAUCUAUCCAUGGGCAGGUUGAAGGUUGGGUAACACUAACUGGAGGACCGAACCGACUACCGUUGAAAAGUUAGCGGAUGACCUGUGGAUCGGAGUGAAAGGCUAAUCAAGCUCGGAGAUAGCUGGUUCUCCUCGAAAGCUAUUUAGGUAGCGCCUCAUGUAUCACUGUAGGGGGUAGAGCACUGUUUCGGCUAGGGGGUCAUCCCGACUUACCAAACCGAUGCAAACUCCGAAUACCUACAAGUGCCGAGCAUGGGAGACACACGGCGGGUGCUAACGUCCGUCGUGAAAAGGGAAACAACCCAGACCGUCAGCUAAGGUCCCAAAGUUAUGGUUAAGUGGGAAACGAUGUGGGAAGGCUUAGACAGCUAGGAGGUUGGCUUAGAAGCAGCCACCCUUUAAAGAAAGCGUAAUAGCUCACUAGUCGAGUCGGCCUGCGCGGAAGAUGUAACGGGGCUCAAACCAUACACCGAAGCUACGGGUAUCACGUAAGUGAUGCGGUAGAGGAGCGUUCUGUAAGCCUGUGAAGGUGAGUUGAGAAGCUUGCUGGAGGUAUCAGAAGUGCGAAUGCUGACAUGAGUAACGACAAUGGGUGUGAAAAACACCCACGCCGAAAGACCAAGGUUUCCUGCGCAACGUUAAUCGACGCAGGGUUAGUCGGUCCCUAAGGCGAGGCUGAAAAGCGUAGUCGAUGGAAAACAGGUUAAUAUUCCUGUACUUCUGGUUAUUGCGAUGGAGGGACGGAGAAGGCUAGGCCAGCUUGGCGUUGGUUGUCCAAGUUUAAGGUGGUAGGCUGAGAUCUUAGGUAAAUCCGGGAUCUUAAGGCCGAGAGCUGAUGACGAGUUAUCUUUUAGAUGACGAAGUGGUUGAUGCCAUGCUUCCAAGAAAAGCUUCUAAGCUUCAGGUAACCAGGAACCGUACCCCAAACCGACACAGGUGGUUGGGUAGAGAAUACCAAGGCGCUUGAGAGAACUCGGGUGAAGGAACUAGGCAAAAUGGCACCGUAACUUCGGGAGAAGGUGCGCCGGUGAGGGUGAAGGACUUGCUCCGUAAGCUCAUGCCGGUCGAAGAUACCAGGCCGCUGCGACUGUUUAUUAAAAACACAGCACUCUGCAAACACGAAAGUGGACGUAUAGGGUGUGACGCCUGCCCGGUGCCGGAAGGUUAAUUGAUGGGGUUAGCUAACGCGAAGCUCUUGAUCGAAGCCCCGGUAAACGGCGGCCGUAACUAUAACGGUCCUAAGGUAGCGAAAUUCCUUGUCGGGUAAGUUCCGACCUGCACGAAUGGCGUAACGAUGGCGGCGCUGUCUCCACCCGAGACUCAGUGAAAUUGAAAUCGCUGUGAAGAUGCAGUGUAUCCGCGGCUAGACGGAAAGACCCCGUGAACCUUUACUAUAGCUUUGCACUGGACUUUGAAUUUGCUUGUGUAGGAUAGGUGGGAGGCUUUGAAGCGUGGACGCCAGUUCGCGUGGAGCCAUCCUUGAAAUACCACCCUGGCAACUUUGAGGUUCUAACUCAGGUCCGUUAUCCGGAUCGAGGACAGUGUAUGGUGGGUAGUUUGACUGGGGCGGUCUCCUCCUAAAGAGUAACGGAGGAGUACGAAGGUGCGCUCAGACCGGUCGGAAAUCGGUCGUAGAGUAUAAAGGCAAAAGCGCGCUUGACUGCGAGACAGACACGUCGAGCAGGUACGAAAGUAGGUCUUAGUGAUCCGGUGGUUCUGUAUGGAAGGGCCAUCGCUCAACGGAUAAAAGGUACUCCGGGGAUAACAGGCUGAUACCGCCCAAGAGUUCAUAUCGACGGCGGUGUUUGGCACCUCGAUGUCGGCUCAUCACAUCCUGGGGCUGAAGCCGGUCCCAAGGGUAUGGCUGUUCGCCAUUUAAAGUGGUACGCGAGCUGGGUUUAGAACGUCGUGAGACAGUUCGGUCCCUAUCUGCCGUGGACGUUUGAGAUUUGAGAGGGGCUGCUCCUAGUACGAGAGGACCGGAGUGGACGAACCUCUGGUGUUCCGGUUGUCACGCCAGUGGCAUUGCCGGGUAGCUAUGUUCGGAAUAGAUAACCGCUGAAAGCAUCUAAGCGGGAAACUAGCCUCAAGAUGAGAUCUCACUGGAACCUUGAGUUCCCUGAAGGGCCGUCGAAGACUACGACGUUGAUAGGUUGGGUGUGUAAGCGCUGUGAGGCGUUGAGCUAACCAAUACUAAUUGCCCGUGAGGCUUGACCAU